rnacentral:tRNA from 1 species
GGCAUCUUCAUAAAGAAGGUGGGGCUUGCAAACACCGGGAUGUUGCUCACGAUUCAACGAUGAGCCA